rnacentral:rRNA from 1 species
UACGUAGGGAGCAAGCGUCGUUCGGAUUUACUGGGCGUAAAGGGCGCGUAGGCGGCGCGGUAAGUCAGCUGUGAAAUCUCCGAGCUUAACUCGGAACGGCCAGCUGAUACUGCAGUGCUAGAGUGCAGAAGGGGCAAUCGGAAUUCUUGGUGUAGCGGUGAAAUGCGUAGAUAUCAAGAGGAACACCUGAGGUGAAGACGGGUUGCUGGGCUGACACUGACGCUGAGGCGCGAAAGCCAGGGGAGCAAACAGG